AUGAAGACAUCUAUUGGAGCUGGAUUCAUGUUCUUGUGGCUGCAGAUGGGCUGUGUCCGUGGAGGAGAGAAUAUGGAACAGAGUCCUUCUACCCUGAAAGUCCACCAGGGAACCAAGGCUGUUAUCAACUGUUCUUAUUCAAACAAUGCCUUGGACUACUUCCCUUGGUAUAAGCAAGAACCUGGGAAAAGCCUUCAGUUGAUCAUCUACAUUCGUUCAACUAAGCAACAAGAAAUAAAACAAAGACUCACAGUUUUACUGGAUAAAAAUGCUAAACAUCUUUCCCUGCACAUAGCAGACACCCAGCCUGGAGACUCAGCAGUCUACUACUGUGCAGCGAGUACACAGUGCUUUCCAGGCACCUGCAACCUGUGCUGA